rnacentral:rRNA from 1 species
GAGUUUGAUCAUGGCUCAGGAUGAACGCCGGCGGUGUGCCUAAUACAUGCAAGUCGUACGCACUGGCCCAACUGAUUGAUGGUGCUUGCACCUGAUCGACGAUGGAUCACCAGUGAGUGGCGGACGGGUGAGUAACACGUAGGUAACCUGCCCUGUACAGGGGAUAACAAUCAGAAAUGACUGCUAAUACCGCAUAAGACCACAGCACCGCAUGGUGCAGGGGUAAAAACUCCGGUGGUACAGGAUGGACCCGCGUCUGAUUAGCUGGUUGGUGAGGUAACGGCUCACCAAGGCGACGAUCAGUAGCCGGCUUGAGAGAGUGAACGGCCACAUUGGGACUGAGACACGGCCCAAAACUCCUACGGGAGGCAGCAGUGGGGAAUAUUGCACAAUGGGGAAACCCUGAUGCAGCAACGCCGCGUGAGUGAAGAAGUAUUUCGGUAUGUAAAGCUCUAUCAGCAGGGAAGAAAGUGACGGUACCUGACUAAGAAGCCCCGGCU